UUGGAGGGCAAGUCUGKUGCCAGCAGCCGCGGUAAUUCCAGCUCCAAUAGCGUAUAUUAAAGUUGUUGCAGUUAAAAAGCUCGUAGUUGAACUUCGGGGUCUACCCAUUGGUCAGGCUUAAUUGUCUGCACUGGUGAGAUGGAUCUCUACCUUCUGAGGAACUUUCAUGCCAUUUAUUUGGUGUGGUUGGAAAUCAGGACUGUUACUUUGAAAAAAUUAGAGUGUUUAAAGCAGACUAUCGUCUGAAUACAUUAGCAUGGAAUAAUGAAAUAGGACGGACUGAUUCUAUUUCGUUGGUUUCUAGGAUCACCGUAAUGAUUAAUAGGGAUAGUUGGGGGCAUUAGUAUUCAAUUGUCAGAGGUGAAAUUCUUGGAUUUAUUGAAGACUAACUACUGCGAAAGCAUUUGCCAAGGAUGUUUUCAUUAAUCAAGAACGAAAGUUAGGGGAUCGAAGACGAUCAGAUACCGUCGUAGUCUUAACCAUAAACUAUGCCGACUAGGGAUCGGACGAAGUUAAUUUUAUAAUGACGCGUUCGGCACCUUACGGGAAACCAAAGUGUUUGGGUUC
rnacentral:rRNA from 1 species